rnacentral:rRNA from 1 species
UUCGGCCUUUAACUUAGUGGCGAACGGGUGAGUAACGCGUGAAUAACCUGACUCAAAGAGGGGGAUAACAACGGGAAACUGUUGCUAAUACCGCAUGAGACCACAACACCGCAUGAUGAAGGGGUCAAAGAUUUAUCGCUUUGAGAGGGGUUCGCGUCCCAUUAGGUAGUUGGAGGGGUAACGGCCCACCAAGCCAACGAUGGGUAGCCGAGCUGAGAGGCUGAUCGGCCACACUGGAACUGAGACACGGUCCAGACUCCUACGGGAGGCAGCAGUAGGGAAUAUUGGGCAAUGGGCGCAAGCCUGACCCAGCAACGCCGCGUGAGGGAAGAAGGUUUUCGGAUUGUAAACCUCUGUCCUAUGUGACGAAGGAAGUGACGGUAGCAUAGGAGGAAGCCCCGGCUAACUACGUGCCAGCAGCCGCGGUAAUACGUAGGGGGCGAGCGUUGUCCGGAAUUACUGGGCGUAAAGGGUGCGUAGGCGGUUUGGUAAGUUGGAUGUGAAUACCCGGGCUUAACUUGGGGGCUGCAUCCAAUAUUGUCGGACUUGAGUGCAGGAGAGGAAAGCGGAAUUCCUAGUGUAGCGGUGAAAUGCGUAGAUAUUAGGAGGAACACCGGUGGCGAAGGCGGCUUUCUGGACUGUAACUGAC